rnacentral:lncRNA from 1 species
GAAAACUCGAUGCCAACAUGUGAAAGCUAAGACAUUAUUUGAAAAUUAUAUAUCUUAUACAUGGUUUUAUAUAGUUACUAAUCAAGGAGAGGAAGAAGCGGGAGGCAUUCCAGGGAUGAGAGGUACAGGUGGUAAUGGGAAUGCAGGUAAUGGAGGGAUUGUUGGGAAUGGAGGUAAUGGAGGGAUUGUUGGGAAUGAUGGUGGUGGUGGAGAUGGUGGAGUCAAACCUGGUAAUGGGGGUAAACUUGGAAUCAAUGGUGCUGGUGGAGGCUGGAAUGGGUUUGGGAUGAGUGGAGGUGGGCUUGGCAGAAGAGGGUUUGGAGGCAAAAGUGAUGGUGGAUUGAGAGGGUUUGGUGGGAAGAAAAAAUCUGGUUGG